CCUACGGGUGGCAGCAGUAGGGAAUCUUCCACAAUGGACGAAAGUCUGAUGGAGCAACGCCGCGUGAGGGAAGAAGGGUUUCGGCUCGUAAAGCUCUGUUGGUAGGGAAGAAAGAUAGAGGUAGUAACUGGCCUUUAUUUGACGGUAAUUACUUAGAAAGUCACGGCUAAAUACGUGCCAGCAGCCGCGGUAAUAAGUAGGUGGCAAGCGUUGUCCGGAUUUGUUGGGCGUAAAGCGAGUGCAGGCGGUUCAAUAAGUCUGAUGUUAAAGCCUUCGGCUCAACCGGAGAAUUGCAUCUGAAACUGUUGAACUUGAGUGCAGGAGAGGAGAGUGGAACUCCAUGUGUAGCGGUGGAAUGCGUAGAUAUAUGGAAGAACACCAGUGGCGAAGGCGGCUCUCUGGUCUCCAACUGACGCUGAGGCUCGAAAGCGUGGGUAGCGAACAGGAUUAGAUACCCUAGUAGUC
rnacentral:rRNA from 1 species